GAGUACACAGUCAUUCGGUUAUUAAACUGAACAGUAACUAGCUGGUGGCGCAAAGACACUAUGGCUUCCAGUGCUAUGGUAAGAACAAAUAUUUUUUACUUUUUUUGUUCAAUAUUAUAUAAGGCGACUUAUCUAUAUUAAUUAUUUGUUCAUGUAUAAUAGAAUUAUGGUUAACUCGUUGAUCAUUUAUAUUUUCUCACAAAUUUAAUCUAAAAUUAUAACACUCAAUAUUAUAGAUAUUCAAAAAUAUUAGCCGUUUAUACCUCAUACUUUACUAAAAUAUAGAUAUUUAAUAAUAAAUUAAAUAAUUUAUACGAUUUAAAUACGUAUUUAUACGCUUUUUUAAAUUGAAUAAUAAUAUUUUUCUUAUUUGUUCAUAUUAUUUAAUGUGAAUUUUUUGAAUUUUAUAUCAUCCACAAAGCAUUCUAUAGUUGGUUUUUAUUUUGACACACCCAAUAUUUAUAAAUUUAUUUUAUUUUAUUAUAAAUGUAUUAUAUACGAUUAUAAUUAUUGAAUAUGUCAUACUUUAGAUAAUUUAUGAAAUUAGAAUUUUCUUAAACAAUACAACUAACUAUUAUAAUAUCAGUAAAAUAAUAUAGCGAACGCGUAUUUCGAAAACUUUUUUAUAAUUUAAUAAUUAAAUGUCAAACUCGUGUAUAGAAUUAUAUUACAUAAAGAAAUAUCAACAAAUACAGAUAAAAAAAAUUGUCCACAUUCAAGAACUAGUAGUUUCUAUAUCAUUAUAUGCCAUAGUAUAUGUUUAAUAUAAAACUAAAAAAUCCACAUGUACUUCAUACUGAGAGUAGGCCAGAGUAGUAGGUAGGAAGUUUGAAAUGUGUAAGACAUAAUGAAUUUCAAUUUUUAAUCUUAAAGUACAAAAAAUUCUCUGGAAUCAAAAAAAAAUUCUGUGUAGAGUAGUAUUAGUUAAAAAUAUUUAUUUCCUUGUAGCAAACGUAACUUGGAAAACAGAUAAAUAAAUGUAUUAUAAUUUGUUGUCGGGUUUUUAAAUUUUUAGGAAAAACUAUUGGGAUUGCACAUACAUUUUUAUUAAAAUUAUUUAAUAUUUUAUAUAGAAAUAUAGAAACUCAAAAUUAUUGUAAUUUAUAUACAACAAAAAAAUACCUAUUCAAUUUUAAUUAUAUUGUAUUUCGGUUUUUAGAUGCAAGCAGUUUUUCUAGGACUCUUAGUAGUGUCCACUGCGUUCGCUGCAGAACCAGCGAAGAAAAAUAAUAAAAGAUACUCCUUAGAUAUUGACAACAUCAGUGCCUUUGGUUCAUCUACUGCAGCUCCAUUAUCAUACGGUAGCUCAUUCGCGUCGAGUGUUUCUCCAUUCAAAUCUGUUUCUUACAGUUCCACUCCCGCUCCGUUUGCUUUUGGUAAAUCUUACUCAUCAAAUGCUUUUGCCAACGGUUUCGGUGCCCAAUCGUUUGACGGUGCAUCUUUCGUCGGAUCAUCCACUCCAGCUCCACUUCUCGAUGGAUCAUUCGCUUCUUCUUCCCCGGCAGCUUUAGUCGGAUCAUCUACCAUAGCACCAAUCGUAUCCGAUGCAAGCUAUGGAUAUUCGUCAUCUCCGUCUUCGAUUUUCUCAGGAGAUGGUGCAUCUAGUGCAUACGGAUCAUCCUUCUCUGGAGCCUACGCACCUAGUGUAUACGGAUCAUCCUUCUCGGGAGCCUACGCACCUAGUGCAUACGGAUCAUCCUUUUCCGGAGCCUACGCGCCAUCCUUCUCACAAGGAUCAUCGAUCUUCAAAUCAAAUGCUUACAGUAGUGAUGCCGUUGCAGUGUCAGUUACUCCGACUGUUCACAAACAAAUCAUUAUCACUAAACAAAUACCAGUCCCACAAUACGUCCAAGUCGAGAAGAAAGUACCGCACCCGGUAUAUGUCAAUGUACCACAACCGUACCCAGUUACUGUAGAAAGGAGAGUGCCAUAUGAAGUUAGAGUAAAUGUCGACCGUCCAGUCCAUGUACCUCAGCCGUACCCAGUGGAAGUUGAGAAGAGAGUGCCAUACCCCGUUGAAAAACCAGUACCGUAUACAGUUCAAGUACCAGUCGACAGGCCAUACCCGGUACAAGUUCCAGUUGAUAAACCAGUGCCGUACACAGUUGAAAAGCCUGUGCCAUACCCAGUAAGAGUAAAUGUCGACAGACCGUACCCAGUAGAAAAACCAGUGCCGUACCCAGUAGCCGUUGAAAAGCCAGUGCCAUACCCAGUAGAGAAGGCCGUGCCAUACACAGUUGAAAAACGCGUACCUUACCCAGUUGAAAAGCCUGUACCAUACCCAGUUAAAUACGAGGUCCCAGUUAAUGUUCCAUAUCCGGUGCAAGUUAAAGUUCCAGUAUCUGUAGAUAGGCCUGUGCCUUACACAGUUGAAAAGAAGGUCCCUUACCCAGUUCAGGUACCAUACGAAGUUAAGGUUCCAGUACCAGUCGCAGCGCCGAUUCAACGCCUCGCUACUGUCCACUACUAUGAAGGUUCAGCUCCAUCAGCUGCUUUAGGAUACGAAUCAUCUCAAGGUCUUACUGCAGGUCAAUCAGGUUACAGCAAAUUCUUCUCUGGCCUAGGACCAGCUUCCGGUAGUGCAUUCUACAGUUCCACAUCCAGCCCAGCUAGUUUCUACAGUUCUACACCAGCAUCAGCUAGUGCAUUCUACAGUUCCACCUCCAGCCCGGCUAGUUUCUAUAGUUCUACACCAGCAUCAGCUAGUGCGUUUAGCUCUACUGCUAGCCCGAUUGGUUUCAGCUCUACCGCUAGCCCAACUGGAUUCUAUGGCUCAAAUGCUGCUCAAGACAGUUUCUUAAGCUCAUCAGGCGCGGCGGCUCCAUUUAACUUCGGGCAAAAUUCUUUCUACGCUUCUUCGGUACCGGCUUCCACCAGCUCCGUUUCGUCUAGUUCAGUGGCAUCUAAUUUGGGCCAAGAAUCAUUCGACAUUGUAAAGAAAUAGAUUACUAAGUACCCGAUUGUAUUUAAAAAUGUUUUCACGCUUCCAAAAUAACAGAAACGUGUUUCU